rnacentral:rRNA from 1 species
GACGAAGGGGGCUAGCGUUGUUCGGAAUUACUGGGCGUAAAGCGCGUGUAGGCGGUUGCCCAAGUCGGGUGUGAAAGCCUUGAGCUCAACUCAAGAAAUGCACUCGGUACUGGGUGACUAGAGGACCGGAGAGGAUAGUGGAAUUCCCAGUGUAGUGGUGAAAUACGUAGAUAUCGGGAGGAACACCAGUGGCGAAGGCGGCUCACUGGCCCGGGUACUGACGCUGAGGGUGCGAAAGCGUGGGGAGCAAACAGG